AGGAAUAUUGGUCAAUGGACGCGAGUCUGAACCAGCCAAGUAGCGUGAAGGAUGACUGCCCUAUGGGUUGUAAACUUCUUUUAUAUGGGAAUAAAGUGGUCCACGUGUGGACUUUUGUAUGUACCAUAUGAAUAAGGAUCGGCUAACUCCGUGCCAGCAGCCGCGGUAAUACGGAGGAUCCGAGCGUUAUCCGGAUUUAUUGGGUUUAAAGGGAGCGUAGGCGGAUUGUUAAGUCAGUUGUGAAAGUUUGCGGCUCAACCGUAAAAUUGCAGUUGAUACUGGCAGUCUUGAGUGCAGUAGAGGUGGGCGGAAUUCGUGGUGUAGCGGUGAAAUGCUUAGAUAUCACGAAGAACUCCGAUUGCGAAGGCAGCUCACUGGAGUGUAACUGACGCUGAUGCUCGAAAGUGUGGGUAUCAAACAGGAUUAGAUACCCUGGUAGUCCACACAGUAAACGAUGAAUACUCGCUGUUUGCGAUAUACAGUAAGCGGCCAAGCGAAAGCAUUAAGUAUUCCACCUGGGGAGUACGCCGGCAACGGUGAAACUCAAAGGAAUUGACGGGGGCCCGCACAAGCGGAGGAACAUGUGGUUUAAUUCGAUGAUACGCGAGGAACCUUACCCGGGCUUAAAUUGCAAAUGAAUUAUGGGGAAACCCAUACGCCGCAAGGCAUUUGUGAAGGUGCUGCAUGGUUGUCGUCAGCUCGUGCCGUGAGGUGUCGGCUUAAGUGCCAUAACGAGCGCAACCCUUAUCUUCAGUUACUAACAGGUCAUGCUGAGGACUCUGGAGAGACUGCCGUCGUAAGAUGUGAGGAAGGUGGGGAUGACGUCAAAUCAGCACGGCCCUUACGUCCGGGGCUACACACGUGUUACAAUGGGGGGUACAGAAGGCCGCUACCUGGUGACAGGAUGCCAAUCCCAAAAACCUCUCUCAGUUCGGAUCGAAGUCUGCAACCCGACUUCGUGAAGCUGGAUUCGCUAGUAAUCGCGCAUCAGCCAUGGCGCGGUGAAUACGUUCCCG
rnacentral:rRNA from 1 species